rnacentral:rRNA from 1 species
CUACGGGGAGCUGCAGUGGGGAAUAUUGCACAAUGGGGGAAACCCUGAUGCAGCCAUGCCGCGUGUGUGAAGAAGGCCUUCGGGUUGUAAAGCACUUUCAGUGGGGAGGAAGGCAAACGGCAUUAAUAAUGCCAUUUGAUUGACGUUACCCACAGAAGAAGCACCGGCUAACUCCGUGCCAGCAGCCGCGGUAAUACGGAGGGUGCGAGCGUUAAUCGGAAUUACUGGGCGUAAAGCGUACGUAGGCGGUUUAUUAAGUUAAAUGUGAAAUCCCUGGGCUUAACCUAGGAACUGCAUUUAAAACUGGUAAGCUAGAGUCUCGUAGAGGGGGGAUAGAAUUCCAGGUGUAGCGGUGAAAUGCGUAGAGAUCUGGAGGAAUACCAGUGGCGAAGGCGACCCUCUGGACGAAAACUGACGCUCAGGUACGAAAGCGUGGGGAGCAAACAGGAUUAGAUACCCUUGUAGUC